rnacentral:rRNA from 1 species
UGAUGGCGACCGGCGCACGGGUGAGUAGCACGUAUCCAACCUGCCUCAUACUCGGGGAUAGCCUUUCGAAAGAAAGAUUAAUAUCCGAUAGCAUAUAUUUCCCGCAUGGGUUUUAUAUUAAAGAAAUUCGGUAUGAGAUGGGGAUGCGUUCCAUUAGUUUGUUGGGGGGGUAACGGCCCACCAAGACUACGAUGGAUAGGGGUUCUGAGAGGAAGGUCCCCCACAUUGGAACUGAGACACGGUCCAA